CGACUCUUUGCAACCCCAUGGACUGUAGCCUACCAUGCUCCUCCAUCCAUGGGAUUCUCCAGGCAAGAAUACUGGAGUGGGUUGCCAUGCCCUCGCCUUCAGGGAAUCUUCCCAACCCAGGGAUCGAACCCAGGUCUCCCGCAUUGCAGACAGAUUCUUUACCAUCUCAGCCACAAUUUCUGACCUGUCAAGGCAUACUUUGGAGAUAUGGUGGGUUUGGUUCCAGGCUGCCACAAUAAAAUGAACAUUGCAAUAAACUUGAACUCCUUUCAGCAUAUCUUAUAGUACAAGUCUAAUGGUGAUGAACUCCCUCAGCUUCUAUUUGGCAAAGUCCAUCUCUCCAUUCCUGAAA
ensembl:lncRNA